rnacentral:tRNA from 1 species
AUGAGUAUGGUGUAUAUUAACACCUUAACUUUUCAUGUUAAAAUUAUAGAGCCCUAUUACUCAU